rnacentral:rRNA from 1 species
UACGUAGGGUGCAAGCGUUGUCCGGAAUUAUUGGGCGUAAAGGGCUCGUAGGCGGCUUGUCACGUCGGGUGUGAAAGACCGGGGCUUAACUCCGGUUCUGCAUUCGAUACGGGCUAGCUAGAGUGUGGUAGGGGAGAUCGGAAUUCCUGGUGUAGCGGUGAAAUGCGCAGAUAUCAGGAGGAACACCGGUGGCGAAGGCGGAUCUCUGGGCCAUUACUGACGCUGAGGAGCGAAAGCGUGGGGAGCGAACAGG